UCCCUGGUGGUCCAGUGGUUAAGACUCUGUGCUUCCAAUGCAGGGAGUACAGGUUCAAUCCCUGACCAAGGAG
rfam:Ovis aries breed Texel chromosome 10, whole genome shotgun sequence.